rnacentral:lncRNA from 1 species
GCUGGCGUCCUCUUCGCCGGGCUCACAUGGCGGCUCCAGAGCAGAGAGCAGGAGGAAGAGAGGAGAACAACUUCCUGUUUGUCCCUGGUUAUAAGACAAACAUAUACACAGAAGGACCUCCCCCAUAGGAGCUGCAAUCCCCGGGCCGUGUCCGUGGUCCUUUGGGAAGAAGGUAUGUUACAGUACUGGAGCGUUCCCAUUAAGUGGUGUUCUCUUACUGUUCCUUCCAGCUCUCCCAGGCCAAGUCCGGAAAGUUCAACCCACACGUCCAUGUAGAGUAUGAAUGGAACCUGCGUCAAGACGAGAUGGACGAGAGUGAUGACGACCUGGACGACAAACCAAGCCCCAUCAAAAAGGAGCGGUCACCCAGACCCCAGAGCUUCUGCCACUCCUCCAGCAUCUCACCACAGGACAAGCUGGCGCUGCCCGGGUUCAGCACUCCGCGGGACAAGCAGCGGCUCUCCUAUGGAGCCUUCACCAACCAGAUCUUCGUCUCUACGAGCACAGACUCACCCACGUCACCCACCACCGAGGCCCCCCCUUUGCCACCCAGGAACGCCGGGAAAGGUAUGGGCUUGAGUGCUUGUGGGCUUGACCUCACAGCUGCUAGUCUGGCUGAAGUGGCAGAAUACGGAGCAUACUGUCAGGGACAGCCCAAAAUGGCGACGGUGUCGUCUCUCAGGCGCCGGUAGCGGGAAAGGUAGUAUCAUGGCUGUUCUUGGUGUGUUCUUGGUGGCUCGCAUGAAGCUCCUGUGAAUUGUGUGGUUUUUGUGCCCACCCUACAGAAAGAGAAGCUCGGAUUAAAAGAGAUGAAUGGCUUUUCAGUGUCACACAGCCAUUAGGUAGUUGAGCCUCCAUCUGAGUGUCACGUGACCCGAGCUCUUUGUAGCAGGGAUAACGCUUGGUUCUUUGAAAGGCUACUUUCCUCUGUGCUGAGGUGCCUCUGUCAAACACGUGGCUGUCUGGACUAAAGAGGAAGCCCAGUUGGCAAAAGGCUUGUCUUUUGUAUACGGGGCCCUGGGUUUGAUCCCCAGCAUUGUGUAAAAUUGCACGAUGGCGAUCGCUGUUCUUCCAUAUAUUCCAACCUUCAUGCUUUCUGUUUGUUUGGUGGAUUGGUUUUGUUUUGUUUUUCGAGACAGGGUUUCUUUGU